rnacentral:lncRNA from 12 species
CUCUACUAGAACCUCGUAAGGACCCCGUGACUGUGGAGACGUCCCGUCCUCGUUGACGGGUGAGAAAACCUGGGGCUUUAUGAGUGGCUGGCUCCGGCCCACUCGGCCAGUAGGUGGAACGACGUCAUGAGCUGCCACCUGGUGAUCCCACCGUAGCUGCUGUUGCCAUCUUUCCAGGAGGCUGUCGGCCUGGCUAGGUGACCGCCCCCCGCCCCCGAUACCUGCGCCCGUCAGGCUUCGUGGAGCCACCAGAAACCUACCUCCAGGCUCCAGGCACUGUCUCCACGUCCAGUCCUGACCGGUCUGACCACUGUCCACUCAUUUCCUCCGAGACCUCUCUGGCCCCCAAGAACUGGGGGGGUCGCUUGGGCCACGGCAAUGGGUGUGAGUUCACGUCCACAGCAAAGCAAUCCUCCAAGAGGUGAGGCUCAGGAGGGCCAAGAACCCGGCAAGGGAGGAGAUGUUUCAGACAGGCCUGCAACGUCCGCAGAGGAAUCGGACGCUUCCCCGCAUCCUCUGAAGGACCUCGCGGGAGCCCGUCCGGGAGCGCCGGUGCCUCUGAGCUGGUUCAACACGGGGAAGAGAGGGACCUGCCAUGCCUUCGGGGGACGCGACGACGCUGACUGCCCCUCGGAAGCCCGCUGCCCGGGGGCUGAGCCUCUCUCUGUCGGCACAGUUGGUCUCUCGAGGGCUCGCCUCUGCCACAAUGUCGUACUGAUGCCGCGCCAAGGAAGGGCCACACGGGGUGAGUCCUCAGUGAUGGUAAACACGCCAGGGGCACCAAUUCAGCCGCUCGGCUGUAGGAAACCCAUUAAUACGUGAGGUUUUCUGGGGCACAAGCAAGAUCUGUGGGAUCCAUUACCACACCCUAAAUCUAUAGAUUUUUAAACACAUGCACAAAUAUUUUCUAAAAAACUCGUUUUUAUGUGCAUAUUAAAAUUUUCUCUUUGUGCUCUGUCUCCAAUAAGGUCCAAAACUCAUAUCUGCAUAACAUGAGAUUUCUCAUUUUUUCUACUUGACGACACACAGUUGCCUCUUCCUACCUGUACCAUCAAACACGAGAUUCUGUCUACGCGCGUCUUCUCUUGCUCCUGUUGCUGUUUUUAGCUGACUUCGGGGUAGAAGCACAGAUGUCAUUUUAAUCCUGCUUGAUGUCAUCUUCAGAGGGGAAAAUUGUCAUUCCUCCUGGUGGAAAACAUCAGCUCGAAGUGAAAGCCAAAAACCACAGAACAUCUCACUGUCCAAGGCCCUGGGUUUUCUCUGCUGCAGCUGGGGUCAGCGUGCACGGUCGUGCGUGGGCACGGAGCGGGGACGGCACGUUGGGGAAGGCAAGCAUGAGGCAGGUGUGCGCCCCAGUCGGAAUUCCUCCCAUCCACCUUGAAGAAGAGUACACGUCCCUCUGUAGUUCAAAUAAUUCAACUUUUUAAGAAC